rnacentral:tRNA from 1 species
AUCCCGGUAGCUCAGUGGCAGAGCGCCGCCGUGACAGGGCGGAGGCCGUUGGUUCGACCCCAGCCCGGGAUAC